rnacentral:lncRNA from 1 species
GUAUUUAUUAUCUUUUGCAUAAAAUAAUGAAUUUCAGAUGAUUCACUAAAGCUGCAAUAUAGAAACGAUGUACAACAGUUAAAAUCUCGCUGCCAUCUAUUUGUUGUCGUCCAAGUCCAACUUUAUUAUAGAUGAAAAAAUAGGUAUUUCAAUCAUUCUAAUAUUCCUCAUCAUAUCCAUAAUCAUCAAUGUAGUCUUCUUCAUUACCAUAUUGCAAGCCCUCAGAAAAUUCCUCUGGUCCACCUUCAUUCUCGUUUUCUGGAAGCAGUUCAGAGUCAUUUUCCUUCAUAUUCUGCUUCACGUAUUCUGUUCCACUGGCGUACACCUCAUCAUUUAGACGGCUUUUCUUGUUAUCUGGAGAAACCUGUUGGGAAAAGUGAAAGUAACAAUAAACAAAGGAUUCGGAGGUGAUGAAACUCAAAUAAUGUCAUGAUAUCUGUCAGCCAUAGAAGGCCCGACAGAAACAGGAGAAUUGCGAAUUGCCCAGAUAUUUACAACUUAAAAAGACAUAUGGUUAGAUACAGAUAUGAAGGCCGUGUUUGGAAGUCAGAGGUUUGAGAAAAAAUUAGAUGUCUGGGCCAUAUUAAAGGGCCGAAACAGAAAGAGAUGAUCAACAUACCGAGUCAUUAAAAAGUUCGUCCAACACAUCAUAGUUGAUCUUCGAGUCAAGCUUCUGCAAAAUGAAUUCACAACUUACAUUAAUGACAGUCGUUAACAGAAGCAUACAUUUCAAGAAAUUAGCAACAAGAUACAACUUAUCUCCCAAUACACGGAGCACAAUACAACACACACGGAAAGCUAAGGUUUAGAAUAUAUAAAGACUGCUCAUGCAGUAUCUUUGAAUUUAAAAGAAAUAUUCACCACAUAACAAAACAAUAACUUUUAAUAUAUAAUACAUUCCUUUAGCUCAAAAAUAUUAAAUUAGGUGACUCCAGUAGCAGAGAUGCAAAGCACCAAAGCCAGGUUUCCUUAUAAACUCAGAUAUAUUAUUCAUAACUUUUAAUUCAGGGAACGUAUUAUAAAGAAAAAGGAGCUUCUCUGUGGCGAUUAGGAAAAGAACAACCCUCAACCGAAUACUAUCUUCUAAAACAUGACUCCUGCAGAGUAAAGCUAUAGUCCCUCAGCAACUUUCUGCUCAAUUUUAUCCGCUUCACUUCUUGGUCUUUUCUUCACUUACAAUUAUUAUAUAUAAUUACAAUUACAAUUAUGUUUAUAUGCUACAAAAGUAACAAAUAUUAAUUUGCCACAUUUUCAUAUAUGCAGAAUAAGAAAUCUGAUCUGAGCUUAAAAGAAGCAAUUUUACUGGCCCAAGUGUUAGUAGGCAUACUUCAAGGCAAUUAUUUAAAUAAUUUGUUUAUGAUGGUAUGCACCAUCAAUUUUCUUCAAUUAUUGAUACAUCAAUUACCUAAAGAAUUUCUUCAUGAUACUCACUGUCAGUUUUCUUUUUAUAUUAAUUAGGAUGGAAGUGAAUGAAAUUGCAUAAAAACUUAAUACUAUGUAGGUUAACUAACAUUCCUCGACCCUGGGUGAAUACGUAAAGAAAUCUAUAGGGCUUCUUUUUAAUAUUAUUUAAUCUAAGUUUCAUUGUGUUGCAUGCUAGAUAACAAACAGCGAACUACUUGUAUAUGUAUAAUAUGUUUAACCACCAAGUUCGGGAUGGAUUGGUGUGGUUCCUCUACGCCUAGGACACCAGAAUAUCGAACCAUGAACGAAUAAAGGCAUGAGAGAAAAGCAUAUUGGCUAGUGAUUGUGAGGCCCCAAUUCUUGAUUGGAGGGGACACCAAAGGCCUCUGCCCUUCCAUCCCUUGGUUGGAUAGGUAGAUAUAAUGGUACUUGUUACGAUGACUCCUAAAGUUCGCGUUAUGAGUUAUGAGUUGCAAGUCUUUGCACUUGGUCAGGGUUUGCAUGAACACAGACACUACAAUCAUUCCCAAGACAUCAAACUUCAAUAAUAUAAUUCCGGUCACCAACUAACAUAGUACCUUCUUGGCUAGCAUUUGGCGGGUUGCUUCUGCAGCAGUUCGAGGAGGAGCUGCAUUUUUAGCCAUUAUGUUUGUUACUCUUGUAUUUAGUUGUGUUUGUAGUCAAUAGUAUUUAUUUUGUUAUUAUUUCAUGUAGUAAUUUGAAUUCGUUAUAAUUUUAAAAAAAUUUAGUACUACAUUUCAAACGAAAUAAAAAAUUUAGUUGAGUAUAAUAACCCAAAUAAUUUUAGUUCUCAUUCAAUAUUAAUUUUCCCCCUGUCUAUAAUCGAUAUAUAAUUCAAUUCGGCUACCAAAUUCCCGAAUGCUUAGCCCUCCCGGUCACCACUCAUGUAGUCAAUCAGCUAUUUGCAAUGUCAAUUUGAAUCAGUUAAAUACAGUGUUCAAAAUUCAAAUCCACGCUAGUACACUAAGAAACCAUGAAACACAACAUAAGAUACAUGCUUAGUAAUAGUGAAACAUGAUCGAAGCAAAUAAUGUAUUUGGUUAAAUAUCAAAAAAAUAAAUAAAAUUAUCAUAAUGAUUUGUUACAAUGCUUUCACGUGCAGAUUACAGAAAUUAAGGCCACCUGAAACAAUACAAAUAGUUGUGGUCAUCUCAGAUCUGAAAUUUGACUAAUAUAGAGAGCAUUUCUAACGGUGUAUUUAUUAUCUUUUGCAUAAAAUAAUGAAUUUCAGAUGAUUCACUAAAGCUGCAAUAUAGAAACGAUGUACAACAGUUAAAAUCUCGCUGCCAUCUAUUUGUUGUCGUCCAAGUCCAACUUUAUUAUAGAUGAAAAAAUAGGUAUUUCAAUCAUUCUAAUAUUCCUCAUCAUAUCCAUAAUCAUCAAUGUAGUCUUCUUCAUUACCAUAUUGCAAGCCCUCAGAAAAUUCCUCUGGUCCACCUUCAUUCUCGUUUUCUGGAAGCAGUUCAGAGUCAUUUUCCUUCAUAUU